AGACUCCGUGGGCGUAGGACCCUCCGCGCCAGGUGCGGGAUAUAAUCUUGUGGCGCGCCGUUUUUUAAGCCGGUCUGAAAAGCGCAAUAUUUGGGUGGGAGUGACCCAAUUUUCCAGGUGCGUCCGUCACCCCUUUCUUUGACUGGGAAAGGGAACUCCCCGACCCCUUGUGCUUCCCAAGUGAGGCAAUGCCUCGCCCUGCUUAGGCUCGCGCACGGUGCGCGCACCCACUGACCUGCGCCCACUGUCUGGCGCUCCCUAGUGAGAUGAACCCAGUACAUCAGAUGGAAAUGCAGAAAUCACCCGUCUUCUGCAUCACUCACGCUGGGAGCUGUAGACCGGAGCUGUUCCUAUUCGGCCAUCUUGGCUCCUCCCAACCUGCAUAAGACCAGCAUUAUAGGCACGAGGAGAUAAACGAGAAGAGGUAGAAGCAAAGCCUCUAUCAAGAAAGCAACAUUUUCUGGAAAUCACUCAGAUCCUAGUUGGAUGUUUUCUGAUUACUCAUCCUUGAAAAAGGCAUACUGAUAAAACUGUUGAUGUCAG
rnacentral:lncRNA from 1 species